rnacentral:rRNA from 1 species
AUGUCAGGUGUUAGUUCUUCACCACCACAGAUUCCAGGUGACGAAUUCACUGAGGUCUACUACGGUGCCCUCACGGCUCCUCUAGCAUCACCCAACCCACAUCUCCUUGUCACCAACGGAUCUCACAGUUACUUUUGGCGUUUUGGUAGUCACUCUUGGUUGAGAGCUUGUCCUUGCGAUGGAACGGUCAAGCAGAUUGUCACCUUCAAAGGCCAGGUCUUUGGCAUGGACUCUGGUGGCAUGCUCUUUGUUAUGCACUUGGUGCCUCGGAUUCGCGUACGGAUGAUGGGAGUCAGUUGGGGGGAAAUCUCCACGCGUCAUCUUGCCAACCUAUACCUGGUUGCGUGUGGCGAUAUGCUUCUCUUGGUCGGGUGUCGGGGGUCGUUUCCGGCAAGAGGGGAUUCCUUCGAAGCCUUCCGCCUCGACCAGUCGACCGAACAUGCAAAGUGGGUGAGGGUGGAGGAGUUGCAGAAUUGGGCAAUCUUCAUCAGCACUGACAAGAGAAGCCAACCAUUAUCCUUCAUGAACCCGGAAAGGUGGGGAGGGAGGAGCAACUGCGUGUACUACUAUUCCCAUGAUUCUGAACACUGGGCUGCAUUUGAGUUGGGAAAGCCUGCCUCCAGCCGAAACAGCUUUGUUUUCAUAAGCUCUAGCAAUGUAGUGCAACCUACGUGGGUUGUCCCUAGCAUGUUCUCCCAGUGUGGUGAUGGUUGA